rnacentral:rRNA from 1 species
UGACAGGUGGUUGGCAUGGUUGUCGUCAGCUCGUGUCGUGAGAUGUUGGGUUAAGUCCCGCAACGAGCGCAACCCUCGACCUUAGUUGCCAGCAUUCAGUUGGGCACUCUAAGGUGACUGCCGGCUAAAAGUCGGAGGAAGGUGGGGAUGACGUCAAAUCAUCAUGCCCCUUAUGACCUGGGCUACACACGUGCUACAAUGGGCGGUACAAAGGGUCGCGAACCCGCGAGGGGGAGCCAAUCCCAAAAAGCCACUCUCAGUUCGGAUUGCAGGCUGCAACUCGCCUGCAUGAAGCCGGAAUCGCUAGUAAUCGCGGAUCAGCAUGCCGCGGUGAAUACGUUCCCGGGCCUU